AGGACUUGACAUGAAGAGAAGUUCUCAGAAAAGAAAAUGUGCUACGGCCUCUUACAC
rnacentral:rRNA from 1 species